rnacentral:rRNA from 1 species
AUUGAACGCUGGCGGCAGGCUUAACACAUGCAAGUCGAGCGGAGAUGAGGUGCUUGCACCUUAUCUUAGCGGCGGACGGGUGAGUAAUGCUUAGGAAUCUGCCUAUUAGUGGGGGACAACAUUCCGAAAGGAAUGCUAAUACCGCAUACGCCCUACGGGGGAAAGCAGGGGAUCUUCGGACCUUGCGCUAAUAGAUGAGCCUAAGUCGGAUUAGCUAGUUGGUGGGGUAAAGGCCUACCAAGGCGACGAUCUGUAGCGGGUCUGAGAGGAUGAUCCGCCAGACUGGGACUGAGAAACGGCACAGACUCCUACGGGAGGCAGCAGUGGGGAAUAUUGGACAAUGGGCGGAAGCCUGAUCCAGCCAUGCCGCGUGUGUGAAGAAGGCCUUUUGGUUGUAAAGCACUUUAAGCGAGGAGGAGGCUACCUGGAUUAAUACUCUAGGAUAGUGGACGUUACUCGCAGAAUAAGCACCGGCUAACUCUGUGCCAGCCGCCGCGGUAAAAC